rnacentral:rRNA from 1 species
CCAGACUCCUACGGGAGGCAGCAGUGGGGAAUAUUGCACAAUGGGGGAAACCCUGAUGCAGCAACGCCGCGUGAGUGAGGAAGUAUUUCGGUAUGUAAAGCUCUAUCAGCAGGGAAUAGAAAAGAAGGUACCUGAAAAAGAAGCCCCGGCUAACUACGUGCCAGCAGCCGCGGUAAUACGUAGGGGGCAAGCGUUAUCCGGAUUUACUGGGUGUAAAGGGGGCGCAGACGGCAGCGCAAGCCAGGAGUGAAAGCCCGGGGCCCAACCCCGGGACUGCUCUUGGAACUGCGUGGCUAGAGUGCAGGAGGGGCAGGCGGAAUUCCUGGUGUAGCGGUGAAAUGCGUAGAUAUCAGGAGGAACACCGGUGGCGAAGGCGGCCUGCUGGACUGCAACUGACGUUGAGGCCCGAAAGCGUGGGGAGCAAACAGGAUUAGAUACCCGGGUAG